rnacentral:rRNA from 1 species
UACCAGCACCCCGAGUGGUCGGGGCGUUUAUUGGGCCUAAAGCAUCCGUAGCCGGUUCUACAAGUCUUCCGUUAAAUCCAACUGCUUAACAGGGGGGCUGCGGAAGAUACUAUAGAGCUAGGAGGCGGGAGAGGCAAGCGGUACUCGAUGGGUAGGGGUAAAAUCCGUUGAUCCAUUGAAGACCACCAGUGGCGAAGGCGGCUUGCCAGAACGCGCUCGACGGUGAGGGAUGAAAGCUGGGGGAGCAAACCGG